rnacentral:miRNA from 1 species
CAGUUACAUUUGAAUUUUGGAUAAAGAACAAAUAAACUUUUAGUAUAAGUAUGUCCCAUGCAACAUUUGGGACACACUUAUACUAAAAAAAAAAAUUAUUUGUGUAAAAAUGGCAUGGUAUC